UUGGCGGUGUGACCCCCGUGGCCCUGCCCAGAGGAGCUCCUCAGUUCAAUCUUCACCCGUUCAGAGCUGCUGCCGGAGCCUUCCGCUUCCUCGUGCUUGGCUUUUUAGCUCUACAAUUCACGAUUAAGAUUUUGGUUCCAUCUUAACGGUUUCACUUUAGCAAAUAAAUCACAGAGGCAUCGAAAAGACGUCAGUACGCCGGGUAAACCUUGAGAUUAACGUGUUAUUUUUUUGUGAGUCUUGUCGUUUGAAUGAAAUGGAUGUUCUGGACGUUUUUGGAAAAACGCUGGAUGGGAAAUGAAAUUGAAAAGGAGAUUUUGUAAAUCAGUGAGAAAACACGUAAAUCAACGGCCCUCAGAUCAGGAGACGGAAGACGAGCGGAGAGUGGGAGUAGCGAUAGUGGUGGAGGAGUGAACCCGGAGCAGGUGAACACAGCUGCGGACCGCCAUGGGCUCUCUUCUAUUGGUCCCGACUCUUCAUCUUCGGGUCUCUGAGAGACGGCAGGGGCCAGCCAGGGAGCGCCGGAGUGGGCAGGCCAGGCAGCUUGCUUUCCCCGCCGGCUAUCGGCUCCUCGGCAGUGAGGAGGGAGAGAAAUCAAUACUGAGGAGAGAUGCUGCCAGGGGUCGCUCAACGCUACCUCCAGCCAUGGAGCCACGGGAGCCCAAGUGUUCAGCUUUCUCUCUCACAGCCCGAUCUCAGUCAACUUGCAUCAGCUAAAGAGAGGGGCCAACAGCCUUGACGUUCUUCAUGCUACACCGAGUGUGUGUGGUUCUGCCAGAGGGCCUUUUCAGGCUCGGCAUCACUUGAUAAAACUGUGCCUGCUGGAAAACGAGUAGAAAAAGAAUGUCAAAGGUCUUUCUUUCACCCAUCUUUGAUUCCUUUUUCGUCAUGAGUGCACAUUCCCCCUGACUGUUGCAAUGAGUGCUUGACGGAGAUCUCUUUUACGCUAAAUGAAGAGGCCUUCAUGCACAAAGUGCUCUACAUUUGAUGGGCUUGGAUGAGGGAGCAGUUUGAAUCCUUUUUCCACCUUUUCCAUGAUGGUUUUCCAUGAUUUGUUUAAGGACGCCACUAUUGGAGAGGCUCGGAACAGGACAUGGCCUUGAUUUGUAGGUGAAGGUUUUGGCACUUACCCUUCCAGGGAACUUUACAACGGCUUUCAGCUCUGACAAUGGCACUUGAUUGGUAUUAAUAACAUUGCAGACAAAUCGAGGACAGUGUGAGAUGGAGAUGUUCCAAAAAGUUGCUCCCACAAGGCUGCAGAUCCAUUGGGAUGUGGACAACUAAAACGUGGCCUGAACUAGAUGUUAACCCUUCAAAAAGUGGAGUGCUGGUGGCAGUGGAUAGUUCCUGUAUCCUUGGAAGCUCAACAGGAAGUUGUAUUUGGUUUUGGACUAAAUCAUGAUGCCAGGAUCAGCUCAGACCAUCACUGGAGAUAGUUUUCCCUUUCUCCUUUAUUUAAUUACUGAAUGUAACUGUUUUUAAGAAGACUGUUUGUGUUGUUUGUAUCGGAUCUCUCUUUUUUUCAACGUAUUUCUGGACAAUACAGGUAAGUACGUUGUUUGAAAAAAGAACUAUUUCUUAAAUGUACAGUACAAAGGACAAUUAAUAAUAAUGAGACUUACUGCCAACUUAAAAAUUGAUUAAACUUUAUCAUAGAUAGAUAUAGAUGGAUAGAUAGAUAGAUAGAUAGAUAGAUAGAUAGAUAGAUAGAUAGAUAGAUAGAUAGAUAGAUAGAUAGAUAGAUAUGUAUUCAGAAAUAUAUUUAUAUAGAUUGUUACAUAUUUAUAUAGAUAUUCAUAUAAAUGAAUAUUCAAAUACAUAUUCAGAUAUUCAUAUAGAUUGAUCAGAUAGAUACUCAGAUAGAAAUUCAAACAUAUAUAUAUAUAUAUAUAUAUAUAUAUAUAGAGAGAGAGAGAGAGAGAGAGAGAGAGAGAGAGACUUUUUAUUGAUUUGCUAUUGCUUUAAUCUAUUCCAUUAAAGUGAUUCCUGCCUAACUGCCUUGUAUUAAAGAUAAAAAGUGCUUAAUUAAAUUCUGAAAAAGAAAUGAUCAUUACCUGUGUGGUUUUUUGUAAAUAUAUUUUCUUUAUUUUUCUUGUUUAUUUAUUUUUUAAAUCUUUUAACAGUCUUCAUGAAUAAGGUACAUUUUGAUGUAGUGUUUUCGAAGCAUUAGAGGCACAAAUCCCAAAUUGUUUUGUUGAAACAUGUUUGAUGAACUAUUAUAUAACAGAAUUAUCCCAAAAUGAAACAUUGCUCUUUUCAAACGCCUUAAAAGCCCUGUGGGGAUUUUGACCUGUACCUUCCUAUGAUUGCAUUUAAGGGCUUUAAUUUGACAAACUGUUGAACUGCCAUUAAAAAAAGACUGCAGUAAAAAUAUUUGUUAUUAUUAUCAAAUUUUAAUUACCAACGAUGUAAUACAACC